rnacentral:lncRNA from 1 species
GAAAGAAAGAAAGAAAGAAAGAAAGAAAGAAGGAAAGAAAGAAGGAAAGAAAGAAAAGUAUGGCUCCCAACCCCGCAAAUACUUUACGUAGAAUGGAAACUGCUAACAGGUUUUUCAGGACUUGUAGGGAAGUAGUCUUAAAUUAUUAAUCCAAGUAGAUCCUUAAAUUAACCUUCCAGUUUAACAUUAGCAUUAGCAUUACAUUUCCCUAUGCAAGAUGGGUUAUUUUUUUUUAAGUCACGAGACCUGGCUUUUGGUGUAAGUGGCAUAUUUUAAACCCUGAGAGCUCAUGUCGGGCUGUUCGAUUCCAUUUUUCUUGGAAUGACAACAUGCAUCCUAACCAAUACAUUUACUUUUACUGAAAAACUUUGCAUGCACCCCCACUCCCCGGGAUGUUAUCUCUGACAAUGCAUCCUGAAUGUCUCCCAGUGAAAUUUUGAAUGGGAAUUGAUAGGCAGCAGGGUUGAGGUAGAAAUAGAACACUCAUAGAGAUCUCCUGGAUGUCAAUUUCCAGAGAACAGAAGGAGGGAGAGUCCUUUGUACAUAACCAUAUAUUUUGCAUAACUUAACCUUUAAAGUGUUGUGUGAUUUAUUUAUAUAUGAGAAAUCAAAGAGAAAAUGCCACUCUUUUUAUUGCAGAUGUCAUUCUGGUUAAGGCUAUAAUUAGAAAUACACAGCAUGAGCGAUUGGAGACUCUUUGCUUCUUACUUGGGUGGGGUUCCUGGAGGGUAAGAGUGGUACAUGCCCUUCAGCAGGUGGUGCUUACUAUGCAGUUCCAGGGCUUAAUCUCAGUGGAUAAUGUGAGUGUAUUGAGUAGCCAUUCAAAUGGGAACCAAGAAAUCUGAAUACUGCUAGGUUUGUCUAAGCUGCAAUCCAUAAGCACGUCCAUUAAAGAAUAGUUACGAAUUUGGAAGUCAAAUACAAAUGCACAAACUUACAUAAAACAUCACAAGAAGAGAAAGAGUGAGAAGCAGAGAGAGAAGCAGAGAGAGAAAGAGUGAUAAUUUGGAACAUGUUUAUAUUUUUUCUUGACUGUGACCUUUGUAGAUGAUAAUGUCACAUCAGAAUGCCAAAAGGUUGGAUGUAGAGGAAAGAUGAUUUUCACACUAGAGUCACUCAAAGGGCAUGGAUAGCCUAAGACAGAUCCUCCCACAUGAUUCCAUGCGAGCAGUUUCUAUAAAAGAUAUAUCAUAGCUCAUGUCUUUCUUUAGGUUCCCAAGCAACCAGGUGGUGCACACAUAUAUUGGAAAGGAAUACAUCCUAUCAAUAUAAUUGUUAGACAGUAGGAAAAUGAUCUAUUAGCAGUUAGGUUUUAUUGCUACCUUUGAUGGUUGUUUAUUCAGCCAAAUAAUACUUUUAUGGUUUCACUCCCAUUUGGACAAUUCCUGUAGUGUUUUAUUUGUUGCUGUUAUGCAUAUGCAUAUAUUUCGAGUGUUAUCUUUCCUACCACUUCAACUUAAUACAUGGAGAUCAAAUGACUCAACCAAACACAGUGAAAUAAAAACAUUGCUUCAGUAGAUUGUCCCUAG